GGGCGAGUGGCGAAAUGGCAGACGCGCUGGCUUCAGGUGCCAGUGUUCGUUAAGGACGUGGGGGUUCAAGUCCCCCCUCGCCCAC
rnacentral:tRNA from 1 species